AGUAACACGUGGAUAACCUACCUAUAAGACUGGGAUAACUUCGAGAAACCGGAGCUAAUACCGGAUAAUAUUUUGAACCGCAUGGUUCAAAAGUGAAAGACGGUCUUGCUGUCACUUAUAGAUGGAUCCGCGCUGCAUUAGCUAGUUGGUAAGGUAACGGCUUACCAAGGCAACGAUGCAUAGCCGACCUGAGAGGGUGAUCGGCCACACUGGAACUGAGACACGGUCCAGACUCCUACGGGAGGCAGCAGCG
rnacentral:rRNA from 1 species